rnacentral:lncRNA from 1 species
GGUCAAGGUAGCUUGCUUCCAAGCCACUGUACUAGAUGCACAUGUAGUCAUAGUAGUCGGCUCAAAAUGCCUCUGUUCUAUACUAAAAUACUACUUUGGAUGAAUGGGGAAUUACGUCGCUCUUUGAUCUGCAGAAUAAGGCCUAUAAGCUCUCUAUUUUAGUUUUAUGGCAGAGAUCUCUCCACACCAAGGAACCAAAUCACAAUGGAUCGAAG